CAGUCGCCGCGGUAAUGCGAAGGGUGCAAGCGUUAAUCGGAAUUACUGGGCGUAAAGCGUGCGUAGGCGGUUUGUUAAGUCUGUUGUGAAAUCCCCGGGCUCAACCUGGGAAUGGCAAUGGAUACUGGCAAGCUAGAGUGUGUCAGAGGAUGGUGGAAUUCCCGGUGUAGCGGUGAAAUGCGUAGAGAUCGGGAGGAACAUCAGUGGCGAAGGCGGCCAUCUGGGACAACACUGACGCUGAGGCACGAAAGCGCGGGGAGCAAACAGGAUUAGAUACCCCAGUAGUCCCUGUCUCUUAUAC
rnacentral:rRNA from 1 species